rnacentral:misc_RNA from 1 species
UUUUUUUUUUUGAAGUGAAAAGAGUAAUGCUCUCAUGGUAUAGAGUUCAAUUGGUAGCCAAAAAAUCACAGAGCAUUCACCAUAAACAACCUUUACAAGGUACAAGUAAUAAAAAUAUCAGACCAAACAUUCAGUCAACAUCUCAUCUAUCUUCCGAUUAAAAAAAAAAAAAAAAAAUCCAGCAAACCCCUUCAAAAAAAAGAAAAACAAAACGGGUAAUAACAAAAAUCCGAAUAAAAC